UCCACCUGGUCGAGCUGCUACUCCAGUUUCAACUGUUCUUCCUGACCUGUUCACCGGACUUGCUACCUUGUCCCAGACCUGCUGUUUUCUACUCUCUCUCUACCUCACCUGCUGUCGUGAACACUGAAUAAUCGGCUCUGAAAAGCCAACUGACAUUUACGCCUGAGGGUCAUUGUCUUGGGAAACAUUUGUUGAGCCCUGAGGGUAGGGUCAAGUGUGGGGACAAACCUGGGGCUGAUCCUGGAGUCAACGUGGGACCCUCUGAGGAAACACAGCCUCCUGGUCCAUCUCAGUGCGUUGAUGUCCAGUUGGGUGUUCCUGGAGUGGUAGUCUAUGACCAGUGGACAUCUCCCAUGAACCAGGCACCUCUUCAUUGAUUGAUUGA
rnacentral:lncRNA from 13 species